GACUGCUGCGUAGGAGAAGUUGGUGAGGGUGGCCGAUCUGCUGGCAGCCAGUCCCCGGAGGUGGACCUCAUCUGGAAGGGCCCGGGAGAACCUCAGCUGAGGUCCAGCGUGACCUCAGCAGCAGAGGAAGGAGGGGUCGGUCGUCUCUGCUGGUGUCUGAGCUGGGAAAGCGGCUGCCCCCUGCUCCUGUGGCCUCCAGCAGACCCCGGGAAGAGCUUCUGCUGCGAGGAGGAGGGGCCAAGACAGCCCCGGAGGCCGAGGAAACAUCUAGAGAGGAGGUGACGAAGAAAGGAGAUGUCAAAUUGUCAUGUGCUCUUUAGCCUCAUCUGACUUUUAAGAAGCUACAAAAAGAGAGAAGAGAGGCAGAGACGGAUGGAGACAUGAAGGAAGGUAGGAAUGAAGCGAGCAGCUAUGGUAAUUCCGAGUGAGACUCCAGCAUCCUUGACUUCCUGCCAGAGAACAUAAUUUUUUUAAAGAAGACCGAUUCCUAGAAGCAGAAGAAUCAGCUGAAAAUCACACGUAAGCGAAAACAAAACAGACCCAACAGAAAUUUUCUUUCAGAAAGACAGAACCGUGGCUUUUGCUACUGAAAAAUGCCACCUCGAAUGAGAAUUUCAGAUUGGUAUGAUGUGAUAGCAACCCGCACCCCCACCCCCAGAGACUUCCUAGGACCAAAUGUCCCCACUAUGGUCUUCUUCCCCUUGGCCGCUCAGAGGUGACACCUUCCCUCACGGAGCACAGAGAUGCUAACAGCGGCAGCAAUAGCAGUAAUAAUAGAGCCUCGCGCCCCACACCGACCACUGGAGUCUCCACCAUGUGCCAGACACAAACUGAUGGCCCCUGCUGCUAUUGUCUGUCCCCACGGUACUCCUUCAGACAAUGGUUUAGUGUCACUGUGAGGGGAAACUGCUCAGAGACACCAAGCAGCUCCAUGUCCUUCAACCUAACAAGGAAGCCUCUGAGCUGCACUUCGACCCUGUGUCUGCUUUUACCAAUAACCUGGUGGGGAAUGAUAUUUUAAGGUGCGUGACUUUUGUUUAUGUUGCAUUUGUUGAACUCUGUGAAGCUGUGUUACUGUGCCUGUCUAAAACACCUGAUGGUCUAAUAAAGAGCUGAACGGCCAAUAGCAAGGCAGGAGAAAGGAUAGG